rnacentral:tRNA from 1 species
GAAAUAAGUAAUUCAAGAAUAAGCUUCUAACUUAAUUCUUAAGCAAUGAGAUUUGUUUUUAUUUCU